GGUGCCGGAUAGCUCACUUGGUUAAAGCACCGCGUUGCAGUCACGGUGCGGGUUCGAGCCCCGGUCGUACCA